rnacentral:tRNA from 1 species
CAAAGUGUAGCUUAAUUCAAAGCCCCUUGCUUACACCAAAGAAAUGUUUGUGAAAUCCAAUCCACUUUGA